rnacentral:piRNA from 1 species
CUUUAAAAGUGCUAUCCAUCCAU